UUGAGCAAACAGCCACUGGCAAACAUAUCAGACUCGGAGCCAGCCAUGGCAAAGGUCAGUGCAUUCUCAGCCCAGAGGUACAUCAUCGAUGACACAGCCACGGAGAAGUUAAGGACUCUUCUGACAGGCUCGCGUGAUGAAACAAAGGUGAUAACCACCAUCAACAGGAAGUUCCCAUUAUCCAUAAAGGAUAUCCGCAGUGUCUGUCCUGUUGAGUUACUAGGCGAAUCAGCAUGGGUUAUGCCAUGGCUCACAGAUGAUGCCGUGAACUAUCGGGUUGCACAGCUUGCAAGGGGCAACUCAGAGACAGCAGCACUUGGUCAUUUCGACUUCAUAUUGUGGCACAGACAGUGGAUCAAAAACAAAAAUGUAGAUGACAGCCUACUAAAUCAUCUCCCUAUGCUAAAAUCAUCUUUCUGCCAAGACUUGUGGGUCACGACAGCAAAGAAACUGGCAAUCACUUCAUCCUGUGGGUUCUGGAUUUCUCCAAAAAAGAAAUUUGUGUCUAUGACUCGUUGAAGACCAUGACGAGUAUUGAUGAGGAUGAUAUGGAUCUUCUAAG
rnacentral:lncRNA from 1 species